UACGAAGGGGGCUAGCGUUGUUCGGAUUUACUGGGCGUAAAGGGCGCGUAGGCGGCAAUUCAAGUCAUCUGUGAAAUCUCCGGGCUUAACUCGGAACGGUCAGAUGAUACUGCUUUGCUAGAGUGCGGAAGGGGCAAUCGGAAUUCUUGGUGUAGCGGUGAAAUGCGUAGAUAUCAAGAGGAACACCUGAGGUGAAGACGGGUUGCUGGGCCGACACUGACGCUGAUAGCGCGAAAGCCAGGGGAGCAAACGGG
rnacentral:rRNA from 1 species